GAUGAACGCUGGCGGCGUGCUUAACACAUGCAAGUCGAACGAUGAAAGCGGGAGCUUGCUCCUGCUGGAUUAGUGGCGAACGGGUGAGUAACACGUGAGUAACCUGCCCUUGACUCUGGGAUAAGCGUUGGAAACGACGUCUAAUACCGGAUACGACCUUCGGAGGCAUCUCCUGGGGUGGAAGAAUUCGGUCAAGGAUGGACUCGCGGCCUAUCAGCUAGUUGGUGAGGUAAUGGCUCACCAAGGCGACGACGGGUAGCCGGCCUGAGAGGGUGACCGGCCACACUGGGACUGAGACACGGCCCAGACUCCUACGGGAGGCAGCAGUGGGGGAAUAUUGCACAAUGGGCGCAAGCCUGAUGCAGCAACGCCGCGUGAGGGACGACGGGCCUUCGGGUUGUAAACC
rnacentral:rRNA from 1 species